rnacentral:rRNA from 1 species
GACGAACGCUGGCGGCGUGCCUAAUACAUGCAAGUAGAACGCUGAAGGAGGAGCUUGCUUCUCUGGAUGAGUUGCGAACGGGUGAGUAACGCGUAGGUAACCUGCCUGGUAGCGGGGGAUAACUAUUGGAAACGAUAGCUAAUACCGCAUAAGAGUAGAUGUUGCAUGACAUUUACUUAAAAGGUGCAAUUGCAUCACUACCAGAUGGACCUGCGUUGUAUUAGCUAGUUGGUGAGGUAACGGCUCACCAAGGCAACGAUACAUAGCCGACCUGAGAGGGUGGUCGGCCACACUGGGACUGAGACACGGCCCAGACUCCUACGGGAGGCAGCAGUAGGGAAUCUUCGGCAAUGGACGGAAGUCUGACCGAGCAACGCCGCGUGAGUGAAGAAGGUUUUCGGAUCGUAAGGCUCUGUUGUAAGAGAAGAACGAGUGUGAGAGUGGAAAGUUCACACUGUGACGGUAGCUUACCAGAAAGGGACGGCUAACUACGUG